rnacentral:rRNA from 1 species
GACAGAGGGUGCAAACGUUGUUCGGAAUUACUGGGCGUAAAGCGCGCGUAGGCGGUCUUGUAUGUCGAUUGUGAAAUCCCACGGCUCAACCGUGGAAGUGCAUUCGAAACUGCAAGGCUAGAGUCCUGGAGAGGAAGGUGGAAUGCUUGGUGUAGAGGUGAAAUUCGUAGAUAUCAAGCGGAACACCGGUGGCGAAGGCGACCUUCUGGACAGUGACUGACGCUGAGACGCGAAAGCGUGGGGAGCAAACAGG